rnacentral:rRNA from 1 species
GUACACCCUGCGGGAGGCAGCAGUGGGGAAUUUUGGACAAUGGGCGAAAGCCUGAUCCAGCAAUGCCGCGUGUGUGAAGAAGGCCUUCGGGUUGUAAAGCACUUUUGUCCGGAAAGAAAUCCUUGGCUCUAAUACAGUCGGGGGAUGACGGUACCGGAAGAAUAAGCACCGGCUAACUACGUGCCAGCAGCCGCGGUAAUACGUAGGGUGCGAGCGUUAAUCGGAAUUACUGGGCGUAAAGCGUGCGCAGGCGGUUUGCUAAGACCGAUGUGAAAUCCCCGGGCUCAACCUGGGAACUGCAUUGGUGACGGGCAGGCUAGAGUAUGGCAGAGGGGGGUAGAAUUCCACGUGUAGCAGUGAAAUGCGUAGAGAUGUGGAGGAAUACCGAUGGCGAAGGCAGCCCCCUGGGCCAAUACUGACGCUCAUGCACGAAAGCGUGGGGAGCAAACAGGAUUAGAAACCCCAGUAGUCCC